GCUAGCUACUACUUUUGCAAAUAUUACAUACUCCUGUGUAGAUAUAUAAAAAGUAAAAAACAACCUGCAGUUGAACACAAGCUAGAAGUUUUAUUACUGCUGAUUACCGGAUUCAAGCUUUCCACUGCAGCAGAAAUGUAAAAUACAAACAAUUCCGCCAAACUAUUAAGAAAAAGAUCGAGUUUACUGAUAAAGGAGAUGAAGAGGAAAAUUUAAAUUACUAUAAAAAUAAAUAAAUAAAAUAAAAUUACAUCCCAUCCAUCACUUCUUUAAUUUUGUUGAGGAACAACAGAGGAUUCCUUGCUGCUGUUUCCUUCUUGCUUCUCAUUGUUCCCAUGUUUGUUUUGAUCCCAAUGAACCUAUGAAUGGGCUUUAUGAUAUUUUAUCCCAACAAAAAAGCAUAGGUUAACCCAUAUCACAUCUCAACAUCCCAUUAUUAAAUCGUCGUCUUCUUUUUAUUAACCAUCUAGGCCGUUACUAAUAAUAACUGAACUGAACUUGCUCUGUCAUCAUAAAUUCCUUACAAAAUAAUAUCUUAAUUUUUAGAAUUUAAAUAAAACACAAAUCUGUCAGAAUAUGGGAGUAUUAAUUAUUACUCAGAUAUGUUUAUAUUUAGAGAAUUAAUAUUUAUACAAGUUAAUUUAAUACAUAAUUAUAUACCAUUAUUAUAUAUGAUAAUGAACAACAAAAGUAAUAAUGCUAU
rnacentral:lncRNA from 1 species